rnacentral:rRNA from 1 species
CCAGCCCGCUCAGAAACUCAAAGGAAUUGACGGGGCCGCACAAGCGGUGAGCAUGUGGUUUAAUUCGAUGAUACGCGAGGAACCUUACCUGGGCUCAAAUGUAUGUUGACGUAUUCUGAAAGGGAUACUUCUUCGGACAAUAUACAAGGUGCUGCAUGGUUGUCGUCAGCUCGUGCCGUGAGGUGUCGGGUUAAGUCCCAUAACGAGCGCAACCCCUAUCAUUAGUUGCCAUCAGGUCAAGCUGGGGACUCUAAUGAAACUGCCUACGCAAGUAGUGAGGAAGGUGGGGAUGACGUCAAAUCAGCACGGCCCUUACGUCCAGGGCUACACACGUGCUACAAUGGCCGGUACAAAGGGCAGCGACACUGCGAGGUGAAGCCAAUCCCGUAAAAUCGGUCUCAGUCCGGAUUGGAGUCUGCAACUCGACUCCAUGAAGUUGGAAUCGCUAGUAAUCGUGGAUCAGCAUGCCACGGUGAAUACGUUCCCGGGCCUU